ACAAAUGUUCGUGAUAAAAUAAGGUUUGAUUUUGUGUAGGAUGUAUGGAUAGGCUGACUGUUGGGUUAGGACAGCGAGUUCGAAGCAAUAUUCAGAUGAAGAAAUAUUGAAGGUUAAAGAUUCAAAGACACGAACUAACGAACGAGGAAUAUUACAACGUUUUAAAACACUGCUUGAAAGUCGACAGAACAAUUUAUCAUUGCACCAAAAGAAAUUCGUCAAGUGUCAGAUUUUCAUCACUGAGUGAGAUGGAGGCCUAUCAAGUCUGAAGAGCAACUUUCUGAAACACUUCUUGAAAGCGGGAAAGACAAUUCAUCAUUAUAUCUAAAGACAUGCGGAGUUAUUUGUCCGAUUAUGCAUCACUGAGAGAGGUGGCUGCCUCGAGUCUAAAGAGCAAUUUUCUAAAACACUUCUUGAAAGAGUCAUUGCAUCAGACCGAAUCGACAUUGUUAAUAGUCUGGUGCAUCACGGAGUGAGAUAGAAGCCUAUAUAGUCUAAAGAGUAAAGAGCAAGAUUACUCAAUUAUGGAACUUGACGAC